rnacentral:rRNA from 1 species
GACGAACCGUGCAAACGUUGUUCGGAAUCACUGGGCUUAAAGGGCGCGUAGGCGGCUCAUCAAGUCGGGGGUGAAAUACUUCAGCUUAACUGGAGAAGUGCCUUCGAUACUGGUGGGCUUGAGGGAGGUAGGGGUCUUUGGAACUUCUGGUGGAGCGGUGAAAUGCGUUGAUAUCAGAAGGAACGCCGGUGGCGAAAGCGAAGGACUGGACCUCUUCUGACGCUGAGGCGCGAAAGCUAGGGGAGCAAACAGG